CCUACGGGUGGCAGCAGUGAGGAAUAUUGGUCAAUGGGCUUACGCCUGAACCAGCCAAGUCGCGUGAGGGAAGACUGCCCUAUGGGUUGUAAACCUCUUUUGUCAGGGAGCAACGCCGGCUACGUGUAGCCGGACUGAGAGUACCUGAAGAAAAAGAAUCGGCUAACGCCGUGCCAGCAGCCGCGGUAAUACGGUGGAUGCGAGCGUUAUCCGGAUUUUUUGGGUUUAAGGGGUGCGUAGGCGGAAUGCCAAGUCAGCGGUAAAAGCGCGGGGCCCAACCUCGCUCCGCCGUUGAAACUGGCGUGCUGGAGUGGGCGAGAAGUAUGCGGAAUGCGGGGUGUAGCGGUGAAAUGCAUAGAUAUCACGCAGAACUCCGAUUGCGAAGGCAGCAUACCGGCGCCCAACUGACGCUGAAGCACGAAAGCGUGGGUAUCGAACAGGAUUAGAUACCCGAGUAGUC
rnacentral:rRNA from 1 species